rnacentral:rRNA from 1 species
GACGAACGCUGGCGGCGUGCUUAACACAUGCAAGUCGAACGGUAAGGCCCUUCGGGGUACACGAGUGGCGAACGGGUGAGUAAAACGUGGGUGAUCUGCCCUGCACUUCGGGAUAAGCCUGGGAAACUGGGCCUAAUACCGGAUAGGACCACUGCCUGCAUGGGUGGUGGUGGAAAGCUUUUGCGGUGUGGGAUGGGCCCGCGGCCUAUCAGCUUGUUGGGGGGGUGAUGGCCUACCAAGGCGACGACGGCUAGCCGGCCUGAGAGGGUGACCAGCCACACUGGGACUGAGAUACGGCCCAGACUCCUACGGGAGGCAGCAGUGGGGAAUAUUGCACAAUGGGCGCAAGCCUGAUGCAGCGACGCCGCGUGAGGGAUGACGGCCUUCGGGUUGUAAACCUCUUUCAGCACCGACGAAGCGCAAGUGACGGUAGGUGCAGAAGAAGGACCGGCCAACUACGUGCCAGCCGCCGCAGUAA